rnacentral:rRNA from 1 species
UACGUAGGGUGCAAGCGUUAUCCGGAAUUAUUGGGCGUAAAGAGCUCGUAGGCGGUUUGUCGCGUCUGCUGUGAAAACCGGAGGCUCAACCUCCGGCCUGCAGUGGGUACGGGCAAACUAGAGUGCGGUAGGGGAGAUUGGAAUUCCUGGUGUAGCGGUGGAAUGCGCAGAUAUCAGGAGGAACACCGAUGGCGAAGGCAGAUCUCUGGGCCGUAACUGACGCUGAGGCGCGAAAGCGUGGGGAGCAAACAGG